UUCCCACGUCCUGCAACUUGG
rnacentral:misc_RNA from 1 species